rnacentral:rRNA from 1 species
UACGUAGGGGGCAAGCGUUGUCCGGAUUUAUUGGGCGUAAAGCGCUCGCAGGUGGUUCGAUACGUCGUGCGUGAAAGACCCCGGCUCAACUGGGGAGUGUCGUGCGAUACGGUCGGACUGGAGGCCAGUAGGGGGAUGCGGAAUUCCGGGUGUAGUGGUGGAAUGCGUAGAGAUCCGGAGGAACACCAGCGGCGAAGGCGGCAUCCUGGACUGGUCCUGACACUCAUGAGCGAAAGCGUGGGGAGCGAUCCGG